rnacentral:rRNA from 1 species
UACGGAGGGGGCGAGCGUUAUUCGGAAUUAUUGGGCGUAAAGGGCGCGUAGGCGGCUUGAUGUGUCAAAGGUGAAAUCCCUCGGCUCAACUGAGGAACUGCCUUUGAAACUGUCUGGCUUGAGGCCGGGAGAGGGUAGCGGAAUUCCCAGUGUAGCGGUGAAAUGCGUAGAUACUGGGAGGAACACCGGUGGCGAAAGCAGCUUUCUGGGACGGUACUGACGCUGAGACGCGAAAGCGUGGGGAGCGAACAGG